rnacentral:tRNA from 1 species
UGGGGUGUAGCUCAGUGGUAGAGCAUGUGCAUAGCAUGCAUGAAGUUCUGGGUUCAAUCCUCAGUACCUCCA